AUUGAACGCUGGCGGCAGGCCUAACACAUGCAAGUCGAACGAGUGGCGGACGUGUGAGUAAUGUCUGUGACACUGCCCGAUGGAUGGGGAUAACUACUGGAAACGGUAGCUAAUACCGCAUACCAUCGGAUGUGCCCAGAUGGGAUUAGCUAGUAGGUGGGGUAACGGCUCACCUAGUCGACGAUCCCUAGCUGGUCUGAGAGGAUGACCAGCGACACUGGACACGAGACGAGGUCCAGACGCCUACGGGAGGCAGAAGUGGGGAAUAUUGCACAAUGGGCGCAAGCCUGAUGAAGCCAUGCCGCGUGUAUGAAGAAGGCCUUCGGGUUGUAAAGUACUUUAAGCGAGGAGGGGGUAGUCGCAGAAGAAGCACCGGCUAACUCCGUGCCAGCAGCCGCGGUAAUUC
rnacentral:rRNA from 1 species